rnacentral:tRNA from 1 species
CGCGGGGUGGAGCAGCUCGGUAGCUCGUUGGGCUCAUAACCCAAAGGUCGUAGGUUCAAAUCCUGCCCCCGCAACCA